UGCCCUUUUUUUCAUAAUAGUAAUUAUCAUAAUCGUAAGCUUCUGUAGAAUCUAAUACCUUUUUUCGUUUGCCAGCCAAUCCAAAAGGUCUUUCUUGAAUCUCAUGAUCCAAGCUGUCAGGAAUAUCCAACACUUCAGAAACGUAGUUGGCAUCAUCAGCAGGAAAUAGUCUGAGUACCGAGCUCCUAAGAACAAAUACCAAAGUACCAUAGGGGCGCUUAUCUUUCAGUUCUUCCUGACAUAGAAGACAAGUAUCAAUAGGUGGGUCCAAGAAUAACUUAGUGCUAACUGAACUGGUUACAGAAAAUUCAUCCGCUUCGUCCAUUUCACAGUCCGAUGCUUCAAAAAGAGCAUGAUUUUCUAAAAACUUAUUUUGCUGCAUUCGGAACUGUUCCAUUAUCCGUGCCUGUCGUUCCUUUGCCAUGCGCACCUUAGCUAAAUGUUGUUCCUGCUGUUCGGCAUCCGAUAACGACUGAACUAUUUUCGAAGAGGAUAUACUCAAAGUUUCGGCAUAUACAGGUUCAUACAAUAACGGAACUUCACUUUUUAAGAUUUUCAUUAUCAAAGAAAUCUUUUCUUUGACAUACACAAAGUUUCUGUGGUUUUUCAUUUGACACAAAACACUGAACAACGUAACAUCCGGAGAGUUGCAAUAUUCCUGUAAUCCCUCGACAACUGGAAAUCGAUUCUCACAUAUUUUUUUGGAAAAAAUAGGUUCAGAUCCUUUUUCACUCAUUAAAACUAGGAGACAUGCAUGUAAUGCAGUAUUAACCAAGCCUUCUAGUUUUCCUUGAUCGUAUGGAUAAAUAUAAGCGUAGACGAUAGUGUGCCAUAAAAUCCCAACAAAAGAAUCGCUUUGUAAUAUGGGAAUUGUAAUGUUCGAAUGCAAUAUCGGAUGAUAUUCCUCAUAUACUACAGAUUCCAAAUGUUUGGAAUGCUGUUUUGAAUACCGUCUACGUAAAAUAUUCUCUGCUUCCUCACGUUGAUUUCUAGAGUAAUGAAUAUUGAAUGGAUCUACAUAAUCAAAGUAUUCAUCUUUUAACGUGAAGGAACCACUAUCAUUGAUCCCCUCGGCAUUCCGAAAAGUAGCGACUUUCUUGAGAGUGCUUUCAAAUUGCUUGUGCUCCAAUAAAUGCUCACAUGUCCUUUUGGUAAUCUCGGAAUAAGGUAAAGGACGAAAACAAAGGAUAUGAGCGAUUCCAUAUUCUAUUCGUCUUGUAAUAUCCCAAUGGUCGAGGACAGCAGUAUUACAUACAAUGGAUAUUAAAAGCAGCAAAAACUCCUCCAUCAUUAUCGUGACUUGGGAUACAUCAUAAUGUUUAUGAGGUACAAAAAACCGACCAUACAUUUGAUCUUCUAAUUGAAAUCGAGAAAUAAAAGAAGGUAAGAUAGCAUCAGGAUCGCCAUAUGUUAAAGUUAAUUGAAGCAACAAAACGUCUAAAUCAAAAGUGUAUUCAUGAAAACUUAGAUUUCUAUAAUGGUGAGCUUGAUCACGU